UUCCCUUGUGUCCUUACAGCUUUCUUGUGAGUUUUUCUAGUGUUUGACCAUUGCCUGUUUUUUACUUUUGCCUACCCCUUUGGAUUUUGUUUACUGUACAGACUUAUUUUGCAUGUACCGACUUGGACUGCUAUCAAACCUUGCCUUUUAUCACACUUUCCUGGGACUUGCAGCAAAGCUUGGGUGUGCUUAACAUGGCUGCUUUUAGUGGACGAAGAGGAUGGCUAUCCUGCAGCAGCAGCAGCAGCAGGAGGAGCUGAUGGAGCUUUUCAACUUGAAGAAAGUCAAAGCACAGCCUGAGUGUGGUCUUGUAAAUCCCCAGUACCACCGCCACAGUCUGAGAAUCCUACCUGGAUGCCAGAGAUUCCUGCUGGUCGUCCAUAAUGUUGGGCAGCCUGUCCUCUGCUGUGGAGAUGGCGCUAGUGUGGAGCAAACCGGUCUUCUGUUUCCAUGCCAGAUGCAAUGGUGCAACUCCUGUUAUGCAUUGGGAGCAGCUUGAGGAUGAUUUAUUUGAGUACCAGAAGGACAUUAUCCUCCAGCAGAGAGCUGGUUAUGGUGCAGAGCAGCAGCAAUUUCAGCAAAGAAUCCCGGUUUCAUCUGUCAUGCACAAACCUGGACCUGAACAAGCACCUCUGGAUGAUGAAGACUGCCUCUGCAGCGAGGCAUGUGAGCAGCAUGGAUCAUAUAAAUCGAUUGUUUCUGCCACUAAAGUCAAGGGGAGGUAACUGGUCCAGUGUGUACUGGCAGACAGCUGGGAAUGAUUUGAGAGCUCUGAGACAGCAGAAAAGGUCACCAUUAAAUGCAAUGUGCUAAAAUGAGGUCCUAAAUUGUUCCAAAGCUGUCAAUGGAGAAGAAUUUGCCACCUGGCCAGACAUCAUGCUGUGUGGGAGGGCGAUGGCGAUGACAGAGUUCUCAGAAAGGACCUAAUGUCUUUCUUGGACAAGUACAGAAAAUCCUUCAUCAUCAAGUUUUUACUGGUGAGAUUUGUGAGCCCAGCUGUAACUCAUUUAUUCAUAAUUAGGAAACUAUCAUCACUAAAUAACAGCCACACAAUUGUCAUGACAUGUAUAAUAGCAGAGAUUUAAAUGAAAUGAACACAUGACCCUGAAUGCUCCAGCUGACAAGCCUGCAAGGUUAACCAGGAGGAAAAUGUGUCUCUAAGCUUUGUGUAAGAUUUAAAAAGUAAGCUCAGUGUUAAGUGUUUUGAAUAUGUAAUGAAAUAAUCAGCUAUUAGUUUUAUUUGCUUCACAAGGGCUCAAAGUUGAUAUUUGAAAAGUCAUAUUGAUGUAACUGGUUUUUAAUGUUUUUAUUUGUUGGAUGAAAUAUAUAGAAUUGACAAGGCCAAGACAUGACUCAGACUUUGAAUGAUUAAGACAGGUUCAGGAUGACACUGAUAAAAAAAAAAAGAUCACAACCAAGAUGUUGGGAGUCCCACACAGCAUGAAACAUUUGAAAUAAAUUGAACAUACAAACAAGGGA